GAUGAACGCUGGCGGCGUGCCUAAUACAUGCAAGUCGAGCGAACGGACGAGAAGCUUGCUUCUCUGAUGUUAGCGGCGGACGGGUGAGUAACACGUGGAUAACCUACCUAUAAGACUGGGAUAACUUCGGGAAACCGGAGCUAAUGCCGGAUAAUAUUUUGAACCGCAUGGUUCAAAAGUGAAAGACGGUCUUGCUGUCACUUAUAGAUGGAUCCGCGCUGCAUUAGCUAGUUGGUAAGGUAACGGCUUACCAAGGCAACGAUGCAUAGCCGACCUGAGAGGGUGAUCAGCCACACUGGAACUGAGACACGGUCCAGACUCCUACGGGAGGCAGCAGUAGGGAAUCUUCCGCAAUGGGCGAAAGCCUGACGGAGCAACGCCGCGUGAGUGAUGAAGGUCUUCGGAUCGUAAAACUCUGUUAUUAGGGAAGAACAUAUGUGUAAGUAACUGUGCACAUCUUGACGGUACCUAAUCAGAAAGCCACGGCUAACUACGUG
rnacentral:rRNA from 1 species